rnacentral:rRNA from 1 species
AGAUUAGAGUUUGAUCCUGGCUCAGGACGAACGCUGGCGGCGUGCCUAAUACAUGCAAGUCUAGCGAGAAAGUUCCCUUCGGGGAGCGAGUACAGCGGCGCACGGGUGAGUAACACGUAAGUCAUCUGCCCAUAGGUCUGGCAUAACUUCGGGAAACCGACGCUAAUUCCAGAUGAUAUCGCAAGAUCAAAGCCUUCGGGCGCCUAUGGAUGAGCUUGCGUCCCAUUAGCUAGUUGGUAGGGUAACGGCCUACCAAGGCGACGAUGGGUAGCCGGUCUGAGAGGAUGAUCGGCCACAUUGGGACUGAGACACGGCCCAGACUCCUACGGGAGGCAGCAGUAAGGAAUAUUGCGCAAUGGACGAAAGUCUGACGCAGCAACGCCGCGUGCAGGAAGACGGCCCUUUGGGUUGUAAACUGCUGUAGCAAGGGAAUAAUGGCCCCUUCUGGGGGUUUGAAGGUACCUUGAAAGUAAGCUCCGGCUAACUACGUGCCAGCAGCCGCGGUAA